rnacentral:rRNA from 1 species
UACGUAGGGCCCGAGCAUUAUCCGGAAUUAUUGGGCGUAAAGAGCGUGUAGGCGUUUCAUCAAGUCGGUCGUUAAAUCUCAGAGCUCAACUCUGAGGCCGCGAGCGAAACUGAUGGAAUUGAGGUUUACAGGGGCAAGCAGAAUUUCUGGAGUAGGGGUGAAAUCCGUUGAUACCAGAAGGAAUACCAAUGGCGAAGGCAGCUUGCUGGGUAACACCUGACACUGAGACGCGAAAGCGUGGGGAGCAAACGGG